UAGGGAAUCUUCGGCAAUGGACGGAAGUCUGACCGAGCAACGCCGCGCGAGUGAAGAAGGUUUUCGGAUCGUAAAGCUCUGUUGUAAGAGAAGAACGAGUGUGAGAGUGGAAAGUUCACACUGUGACGGUAACUUACCAGAAAGGGACGGCUAACUACGUGCCAGCAGCCGCGGUAAUACGUAGGUCCCGAGCGUUAUCCGGAUUUAUUGGGCGUAAAGCGAGCGCAGGCGGUUAGAUAAGUCUGAAGUUAAAGGCUGUGGCUUAACCAUAGUACGCUUUGGAAACUGUUUAACUUGAGUGCAGAAGGGGAGAGUGGAAUUCCAUGUGUAGCGGUGAAAUGCGUAGAUAUAUGGAGGAACACCGGUGGCGAAAGCGGCUCUCUGGUCUGUAACUGACGCUGAGGCUCGAAAGCGUGGGGAGCAAACAGGAUUAGAUACCCUGGUAGUCCACGCCGUAAACGAUGAGUGCUAGGUGUUGGGUCCUUUCCGGGACUCAGUGCCGCAGCUAACGCAUUAAGCACUCCGCCUGGGGAGUACGACCGCAAGGUUG
rnacentral:rRNA from 1 species